rnacentral:rRNA from 1 species
GGGUCUACCCAUUGGUCAGGCUUAAUUGUCUGCACUGGUGGGAUGGACCUCUACCUUCUGAGGAACUUUCAUGCCAUUUAUUUGGUGUGAUGGGAAAUCAGGACUGUUACUUUGAAAAAUUAGAGUGUUUAAAGCAGACUAUCGUCUGAAUACAUUAGCAUGGAAUAAUGAAAUAGGACGGACUGAUUCUAUUUCGUUGGUUUCUAGGAUCACCGUAAUGAUUAA